CUGGGGAUUAGCCCCGGCCAGAUGUCCCAUCACAGAAGUUAGGAGUUGAAGUAGAUGACAUAUGUGUUUGGAGAAGUGAUAUGUCUCAUUCUUUUCAGCUCUAGCUUGUGGUAAGUUUCUGAAAGCAAGUAAGAGAAGAGGAAGGGGCAUUUGUGAUCUGUCAUGUAUAGAAGACUACCACAUAGGCAGGUGGUCACACCUGAAAGCAUGUCCCCUGAACCCCGUUACCUAAUGUCAUAAGCUGAAUGUCCAAAGCUCCUCUCCCAGCUCUGAUUGGCCUGGCUACUAUGAUGAGUGAAGUCCACCAGAGAAGACACUGUGGCCUCGUUUCUCAUCCUGCUGUCCCCAGGAGUAACACAGAAGCGACUAGUAACACAACAGCAUUGUCCUCACACACACAGGCCUGCUUUGUUUCCCCACCACACAGAGCAGUGGCUGUAACAAUGCCCUUGAAAGACACGUUACCCUCCUUUCUCCAACGUUGCACUUGUUUUUUAGUUCUGGAAUCAGCUAAACGAUGAUUUCCUGCAGGGGGUAUCAGUCUCUCAUAUUUUCUGCCUGCUUCUCUGACAGCCUUCAGGCCCCAGGUCAGUGAGUAGCAAGCCAGGCCUAGAGAGCUCUGGACCCACGGGAACAUCCCCUUCUUGGAAGGUGGGAAAGGCCAUGAUGUUUCACCUCUCUCCAGCAAGCUGGGACCUGCCCUGGAAGAAGAAACCAGACCAGGCUGGAGAGAGAUCCCUCACCCCUUCCACUGUGAGGACAUAGCAGGAAGGCAUCAUCUACAAGCCAGAAAGUGGGCCCUCAAUAGACACCGAAUCUGCCCGUGCAUUGAUCUAGGACUUCCCAGCCUCCAGAACGGUGUUGGCUACCUUUGUGGUUUUAAGAAAGCCUGAGGGCCUGAAGGCAGCCACGGGAGAAGCCCUUUCCGAGGGCAUUCGGAACCUUCCCAUCCUAGAGGUGAAGCUGAACUGUCACCAGGACUUAUGACCCGCGGCUUCGCUCCCAUUCUGCCCAUUGAGUUCCACAAGAUGGGCUCCUUCCGCAGGCCUAGACCGCGCUUCAUGAGCUCCCCCGUACUCAGUGACCUGCCCCGAUUCCAAGCAACUCGGCAGACUCUGCAGCUGAGCUCCAGCUCAGCCUGGAACAGCGUUCAGACUGCUGUGAUCAACGUUUUCAAAGGGGGUGGCUUGCAAAGCAACGAGCUCUAUGCCCUGAACGAAAACAUCAGGCGGCUGUUGAAGAGUGAACUUGGAUCAUUCAUUACAGACUAUUUUCAGAACCAGCUUCUUGCAAAAGGACUGUUCUUUGUGGAGGAGAAGAUCAAGCUGUGUGAAGGUGAAAAUCGCAUUGAGGUUCUGGCUGAAGUCUGGGACCACUUCUUCACUGAGACUCUCCCUACCCUGCAAGCAAUAUUUUAUCCAGUUCAGGGCCAGGAGCUGACUAUCCGCCAGAUCUCCCUGCUGGGCUUCCGAGACCUGGUCCUGCUGAAGGUGAAGCUGGGUGACUUGCUGCUGCUGGCCCAGUCCAAGCUGCCCUCGUCCAUUGUCCAGAUGUUGCUCAUCCUGCAGCCAGGCGGCACUCCAGGGUCCGGCCCAAGGUGA
rnacentral:lncRNA from 13 species